rnacentral:snoRNA from 12 species
GUGCCCUUUUAAGGCUGCCGCAGUGCUUUAAGAGGCUAACACAGAAGGGUAAAGUAAGUCUCCAUAAAACCCAGAGAAGAGAUGAUCAACUCCUCUUUGGAUCCUGUCUGGAGUCACAGCU